CCCUAGCCGCCACCAGUCGUACUCCCUGCCUUCUUCCUCGCUGCUCACGGCAGCAGCAGCCAGCGCAGGGAGCAAGGCCAGCCCCCAUGGCGCCCUUCCUCCUCGGCUCAAAUGGUGUGGCCGAGCAGCAGCCCCCCCAGCUCUCCUCUCUCCAUGGCGCAGGAAGCUUUCCCUCUUCUCCGCGGCGUCCGGCAGCAGGGAACCCUUCUCCCCUACGUGCAGGAACUUCUCCAUGGCCGGCGAGCAGCCAAGUAGCCGAGCUCCUCUUCUCCAUGGGCGCGGGUACCUCUGCUCCAACCAUGGCGCCUCCCUCUCCCUGCUGUACAUGGCGUGCAGCAAGCUGGGAGCUCAGCUCCUUCUCCCAUGGCACCUAGCAGCAGCGCCCUUUUUUUUCCCAGCCGGCUCCCCCUUCCUCCCUGCGCCCAACUCUUCUUUCUACUGCACAGCAGCACCCUCCAUGGGCGCGAGCAGCAUGGAUGCUGAGCCCCUUUCUUCUACCUCUGGCCGACGCCCUGCGCAGCGUCUCCCUCCCCCAAGCCCAUGCGUGCGCACAGCAGCGGAUCCCCGACGCCCUCCCCUGCUCCUCCUCUCUUCCCCAUAAAACAGCAGCCGCAACGAGCUCGCCGUCGUCCAUGGCGAGCAGCCUCCCCCGAUGCGCAGGAGCUCUUCUUCCUCCCAAGGACAGCGCCCCUAUUUCCCUCUCCCGGCAGCGCAGCGCCUCGCAACCUAGUUUUCCCUGCAGCCCCACAACAGCGACACGUCGUAGGUGUUCGACAAAAUGCGCAGCAAGCCACUCGCUGCGCAGCCUCAUUCGCGAUGCAGUCGAAACCCGUGCUAGUGGUCAACGCCGCGCUUUGCGCCUUGUCCGUUCGGCGAAAUGUCGAGCCAUGUGGACAACCCCCUGUGACUAGUCCCAUUUCGCUCAGGACCGAGAGAUGGUGAUCGUGCAUGUGAUAUGGUGCCAACCACAGGAUGGCGUUGGUGGACGACCCAAGGAAGGAUGGACUUAACCACUGGAUGCUCGCCAAGCGAGUACCCACCCCA